UUCAUAAAGUUCCAAACGUUUGAAAAUUUUCAUUUGAAGUCUUUUCGUACGCACCGAGGUCUGACAUUGCCUUUGUAGCGCAAAAAUGUGUAUAACGUGGAAUUUUUCAGUGAUUUGAACCACAGUAAGGUUGUAUAAAACUCACUAAUCAGCCCCAACAAAUGAGAGGGUUGAAAAGGUUUUUUUUUUAUUUUUAAGGAACGUAAAAAAAAUUGUUAAAAAAUCGUCUAUAUUGUCGCCGGAAAAUUGCUUUGGAAAAAAAUUUUGAAUUUGAAUGAGGAAAAGGUGGAAGGAACACGAGUAAGGAGAAAAAUUCUAUAUUAAGAAAUAAAUGCAAAUUACCUUUAAUAGCUGGUAGUCGGGUUGCGUGGCGGAAGAUCAGUAAGUAACGAAGGUGAAUACCGUAAAUGCUGCCCUGCACAAGCACACAGUCUUUGCAAUUUACAUGAACACGUAUUAAGUAGAAUGGAGUAUCAUAAUAGGAGUAUAGAUGUUGCAUAUGCAAGUAUAACAUAUAUGUAUAUAAGCAUGGCAUGAUAUUGUUGCAUAGAAAAACCGAAGACACCUACUCUUGCAACCAAAAGUGUUGGAAUAUUUACUUUGCCAGGACAUAGUUCUCGGCUCUUAGAGCUCCAAUCAACUCAAUUCUUACGUUACUAAUGAAUUUCACUAGCCGAGAUGUGCCGCGUUAUAGCAACGAAGCUUUGACAAUUUCAAUUUUCGUUAUUCACAGUGUUUCUCGUUCACCCAUAUUAAGAGAUUUUCGAAGAUUUGGAGAAAUAUAAAACUACCGUGUAAAUAAAAUAAAAUUGCAGCUUUCGCAACGCUUAAAAACUCACACAGAUCUCUCAUUAUAUAAUAAUUUUGUUGAAUUGGUAAAAUAUUUGUUGCAUCCAAUUCAACUCAACUCAAAUCCAUUCAAAACACUUAACUACAUUUAAUGUGCGAUGCUAUUGUAUGCACUUAUGUACAAACAUAUAUCAAGUGAUAACAGGCGUUAUGGUAUUUUUAGACACACAGCUAUCGCCAUCAGUUUGCGCAUAUUUUAAUGAACAUUUUUCAAUGCCUCAGAAAACUGAUAAACAGAUGACAUUUUCAAAUAUAAACUUCGAAUUGAAUAAACUCUCUAAUAUAAUGUUGUUUUGACUUAUUUUAGCAAGAACUCAAGUAAAAAUACUUAGGUACAUAUGGUGUUGCACAUGAAACGCAUAUACUAUGACAUAUGUAUAUAUGAAAUACCUAUGUGUGAGCUCACAUUAUAAUUGUCUUGCUGAUUUUUUGAAUGCCAAGCAUAAGUUUUAUUGCAUUAAAUUUUUAUCAAUUAAACGCUGCUCAAGCCACAUGUGAACACACGAAUACAAACAUAUAUAUACAUAUGUAUCUGUGUAUUAAUGAUUUUUUCAUGUGUCAGUGUAUAGAUAUUCAUUGAGCAAAUUACCAAGUACUGUCUUGAGUAUGCUCG